rnacentral:rRNA from 1 species
AGAGUUUGAUCCUGGCUCAGAGCGAACGCUGGCGGUGUGCUUAAGACAUGCAAGUCGUGCGGUAUCCUUCGGGGUACAGCGGCGGACGGGUGAGUAACACGUGGAUAACCUGCCUGAUUCCCCGGGAUAACAGGCCGAAAGGCCUGCUAAUACGGGAUAAGCUCACGGAGUCGCAUGGCUCCGGGAGAAAAGGUCCUGCAAGGGACUGGGAUCAGAGGGGUCCGCGGCCCAUUAGCUAGUUGGGGGGGUAACGGCCCACCAAGGCGACGAUGGGUAGCCGGCCUGAGAGGGCGACCGGCCACACUGGGACUGAGACACGGCCCAGACUCCUACGGGAGGCAGCAGUCGGGAAUUUUGGGCAAUGGCCGCAAGGGCUGACCCAGCAACACCGCGUGAGUGAAGAAGGCCUUCGGGUUGUAAAGCUCUGUUGCCCGUGAAGAACGGUGCAGUCAGGAAAUGGGCUGUACUUGACGGUAGCGGGAGAGGAAGCCCCGGCUAACUACGUGCCAGCAGCCGCGGUAAUACGUAGGGGGCGAGCGUUGUCCGGAUUUAUUGGGCGUAAAGGGCGUGUAGGCGGUUUCUUAAGUCGGGGGUGAAACCCCAGGGCUCAACCCUGGGACUGCCUCCGAUACUGGGGAACUUGAGUGCUCUAGAGGGCAGUGGAAUUCCGGGUGUAGCAGUGAAAUGCGUAGAGAUCCCGGAGGAACACCAGUGGCGAAGCGACUGCCCUGGGGGAGUAACUGACGCUGAGCGCGAAAGCUGGGGGGAGCAAACGGGAUAGAAUACCCCGGUAGUCCCAGCGUAAACGAUGAGUGCUAGGUGUAGGGGUAUCGACCCCCCCCUGU